UCCCCUCUGGCCCACGCAUGGUGCCACUUGAGCUAACUAGCCGAGAUCCUCUAGAGCACAGGUGGCUUUUCUUUCUCUCUUGUUUUCUUAAUAGGCUUUAAUUCUUGAAAAUGGCAUCAAACGUGGCUUUGGGAUAGGUGCCCGCCGUGCCAAUACAGCUGAACUGUGGCAGCCAUCAGUGCCAGCCCAUCACCAGUAGCAUCGUGCGCUCAGGACUCGCAUGGUGUCAGUGCCUCUGGGGACAGGGAAGAGGCGCACCAGCACAGAGCCACAGCAGCUGGUCACCGUGCACGGAGUGUGGGGCUUGACGACCUUGUUCGCCCAGCAGCCUCACCCUCACAGGGACGACGGAGGGCUUGGCCAGGGAAAUGGCCCCAAGGAUGGCAGCGGCUACCUCCCCAGAGCCCUUAACACCCAGACCCACGUGUCCGUCGUAAGCUCUGACGGCAACAGUUGCCUUGAACCUGGUCCCCUGGCCGGCGGGGGUCUGCUUUUACGCGGGCACAAUCUUCAAAACCUCAUCCUUGAGGGAGGCCCCCAGGAAAACUCAACGAUUUCAGAUUCCCUGAUGGGCCGGGAGAAGAGAGACAUCUCUCCUCCGGGGACCCGAUCGUGUUCCGGACCCGGUGGCCCAGCCUGGUGAAGGGGAUCCACUCCUCGUCCUCAGCCUUGCCUCCUCCCCGGCUGGGGAGGCUGCUGCCCAAGGCUGCGCCAGAAGCCAGUGGCCGCCCAUCCAGGCCCUGCCCUGCUCGGGUGUCACGUGCCAUCCGGGGUUUUCGCAGAGAAGAAGCCAGGUGCGCUGCUUUAGGUAACUCCCACGUGACCUCCCCACCAAGCCCCUGGCUCCAUAAGAGCCUGGGCCGGGCCCCGGCAGGGGGAGCUUGGCUGCGGAGACAUGGCUGCCUUCUGUCUGCAUCUUCCACCGGGGGCUCUCCCUGCCGAGAGGUCAGAAACAUUUCCCAGAAUCCUCUCCCUCACAUGGUUCUGGGUUAGACUUGGCCUAGGAGAGGCAUAAUCCCGUGAAAUGUGGAAGCUGGAAGGGAAGAAGCCAUUGUUCACUGGAGACUGUUGCUAAGUGUCGGCAGAUUUGCAGGAGCCUUCCAGAGAAUUCUUAACCACCUGCUACACUGCUCCAGACUGAGAGAUACUGUGCCUACCACACCGAUCUGCUUGCACAGAAAGUUGAGCGUCACCCCUAAGCACUUGAACAAGACCAUCAGAACAAUAAUUUCAUGAGGAGUGAAGCAUUAAACAUGAAGAGACACAAGGGAAAAAGCUGGAGAGAAAAGGAGAGGUGAAAAAAAGAUCUCCCAAUAAUUUACUGUAAUGUCCCAUUGUUAAUUUCCUUAUCCCGCCUUUGAGCAAAUCCUCAGUGAAGGGCUUUCUCCUUCUGUGCAGUCACAGCUAUGGACCCCUCAGCUCCCAGCUCUGUCCAUCCCCUUCCCCUACAGAUAGCAGCAGACAGCACUGCUCUGGAAAUACGGUCAUCACUGUAAAGACAGUGGGGACAAUGGAAAGGCUGUGCAAAAAGGAAAACAAAAAAACUUAAAAACCCAUUGCUAAAAAAAAAAGUGAGACUUUUGGAAACAACAUCAAAGCCAUCAUACCU